GGGCUCACUUUGGCAGCACAUAUACUAAAAUAGGAAUGAUUCAAGGAAGAUCAGCUUAGGCCCUGCUCAAGGGUGGCAUGCAAAUUCGUCAUAGACACAGACCACAG
ensembl:snRNA U6 U6 spliceosomal RNA